CAUGAACUGGUGUUGGACGCACUGCGGCUGGUCCCAGGUGGACACGUCUGGCAGCUUCAUCACGUGACCUGCAGCCGCGAUGUGGCGCAGCACGUCGGCUCUGGAGAGGAACUUCCCCUCGCAGCCGUAGCAGCGGCUCUGGUGGAUCUGCCUCCGGAUGAAGUUCACCAGUUUGACCUGCUGGUAGAACCUGAGGUCUGAGAGGAGCAGACAGCGAGAGGUGUCACCGUGUUGCUCUCUGACGCUCUUCAUGCUGCUCGUGGCUGAGAUCAUGACGUCAGACUCUGUUCCUCUGAUCGCUCAGCGUCAGCCGGGGGUCACUGCGACGCCACCCACAGGUAACCAAUGGAUUCCAGGGCGUGGAGGGUUUGCACUAAGCCACGCCCCCCGAACCAGAGCUCCUGUGUCCGCAGCUGGUGGGAGGCGGCAUGGCUGGCGAGGAGGAUGUGCUGAGAGCAGGGGGGCGGAAGAAGAGUCGGAGCGGGAGGGAGCUCAAUGCUGGAGGCGGAGCUUAACCAGAUCCUGGAGGAGGUCAGGUACAUCGCCGGGCGUUUCCGGGGGCGGGACGAGGAGGAGACGGUCUGCAGCGAGUGGAGGUUUGCUGCUGCGGUGAUCAACUGCUUUUGUCUGGUGGCGUUCUCAGUCUUCACCAUCAUCUGCACCAUCGCAAUCCUCAUGUCUUCGUGGAGGCCAUUUCCAAAGACUCCUCCAGCUGAGUUUCUUUACUUCAGUCCACAAACCAACGUGUCAGACGCCCGAGGUCAGU